rnacentral:rRNA from 1 species
AAUCGGAAUUACUGGGCGUAAAGCGCGCGUAGGUGGCUUGAUAAGCCGGUUGUGAAAGCCCCGGGCUCAACCUGGGAACGGCAUCCGGAACUGUCAAGCUAGAGUGCAGGAGAGGAAGGUAGAAUUCCCGGUGUAGCGGUGAAAUGCGUAGAGAUCGGGAGGAAUACCAGUGGCGAAGGCGGCCUUCUGGACUGACACUGACACUGAGGUGCGAAAGCGUGGGUAGCAAACAGGAUUAGAUACCCUGGUAGUCCACGCCGUAAACGAUGUCGACCAGCCGUUGGGUGCCUAGCGCACUUUGUGGCGAAGUUAACGCGAUAAGUCGACCGCCUGGGGAGUACGGCCGCAAGGUUAAAACUCAAAUGAAUUGACGGGGGCCCGCACAAGCGGUGGAGCAUGUGGUUUAAUUCGAUGCAACGCGAGGAACCUUACCUACUCUUGACAUCCUGCGAAUUUGGUAGAGAUACCUUAGUGCCUUCGGGAACGCAGAGACAGGUGCUGCAUGGCUGUCGUCAGCUCGUGUUGUGAAAUGUUGGGUUUAGUCCCGUAACGAGCGCAACC